UGAGGAAUAUUGCACAAUGGGCGCAAGCCUGAUGCAGCAACGCCGCGUGAGGGACGAAGGCCUUCGGGUUGUAAACCUCUUUUCCGAGGGACGUGGAAGGACGGUACCUCAGGAAUAAGUCUCGGCUAACUACGUGCCAGCAGCCGCGGUAAAACGUAGGAGGCGAGCGUUAUCCGGAUUUACUGGGCGUAAAGCGCGCGCAGGUGGCUUCGUGAGUCGGACAUGAAAGCUCCCGGCUUAACUGGGAGAGGCUGUUCGAUACUGCGGGGCUUGAGGUUGGGAGAGGGACGCGGAAUUCCCGGUGUAGUGGUGGAAUGCGUAGAUAUCGGGAGGAACACCAGUGGCGCAAGCGGCGUCCUGGCCCACACCUGACGCUGAGGUGCGAAAGCGUGGGUAGCAAACAG
rnacentral:rRNA from 1 species